rnacentral:rRNA from 1 species
GAUGAACGCUGGCGGCGUGCCUAAUACAUGCAGGUCGAGCGAACGGACGAGAAGCUUGCUUCUCUGAUGUUAGCGGCGGACGGGUGAGUAACACGUGGAUAACCUACCUAUAAGACUGGGAUAACUUCGGGAAACCGGAGCUAAUACCGGAUGAUAUUUUGAACCGCAUGGUUCAAAAGUGAAAGACGGUCUUGCUGUCACUUAUAGAUGGAUCCGCGCUGCAUUAGCUAGUUGGUAAGGUAACGGCUUACCAAGGCAACGAUGCAUAGCCGACCUGAGAGGGUGAUCGGCCACACUGGAACUGAGACACGGUCCAGACUCCUACGGGAGGCAGCAGUAGGGAAUCUUCCGCAAUGGGCGAAAGCCUGACGGAGCAACGCCACGUGAGUGAUGAAGGUCUUCGGAUCGUAAAACUCUGUUAUUAGGGAAGAACAUAUGUGUAAGUAACUGUGCACAUCUUGACGGUACCUAAUCAGAAAGCCACGGCUAACUACGUG